UGCAACUGAAUAAAAAUGGUAUACAUUUUUAUUUUAUAGUCGUAUUACUCCGUAGAGUAACCAGGUGCAUUUUCCGUUGGAACUUUACCGAGCUGCAGACGGGGGAUGUGAAUUGCAUAGUGUAGAAUUCCUUCCCUUUGUCUUCACUGCAGCAUCCAUUUGGCUUGCAAACUGUAGAAGCCUUGGAGGUGUCACCAGGGAAAUGUACCAAUAAGUUUUCAAUUUAAAAAUCUUUUAGUAAUAUUUUUAAUAUUUUCAAUAUUAUUAAUUUUGCUAUUAGGAUUGAAAACUAACUUCAUCUUUAUAUAAUAUUUCAUAAUAUUUGAGUGUUUUUGUUAAGACAAUUUUUUUAAAAUGACCGAAGAGGUCUUUUUUGUAAAGGGCGGUAUGAUAACUUAUCCAUUAUAAACAUAUAUCUUUAUUAUUACGAUUAGCUUAUUUUAAUUUUAUAGUAAAAACAGCUCCAGAAAAAUAUUGUAUACGCUCUGAGCUUCGCUGGUGUCGCUAACUAGAGUAUUACUAAUGCAACUUUCGCCGGAAAUUUUUAAAUUUAUUAUUUAAUUUUAUGUAUGUAUACAGUCGGAAAAAUGAAAGAAUACCCAUGAACGAUCACAUCAAUCACUUAUUUUGUAUUUGCUGCCUUUUUCUAUAAAUAACAAACGUUUGUUAUAGAAAAAGACAGCAAAUACAAAAUAAGUGAUUGAUGUGAUCGUUCAUGGGUAUUCUUUAAUUUUUCCAACUGUAUUUAAAGUAAAAAUAUACAACACAGCUCUGACCAACUAAUAUUUUUCCUAUUAAUGUUUUUAAUUUUAAUGUUUUAAAUUAAUCACUUUGACAUUUAUGUCACAUUUCCAGAAAAAGUCACUGACUUGUCACUACUGGCGCUCACGAACUUUUAAAUAUCCCCUCUACGUAUGAUCUCACAGCGUAUAGGUAAAUAUCAUUCAAUCUGUAAUAUAUAACUACACAGAUUUAACUGAAACCCUCAAGGUCACUUGCACUGCAUUAACAAACGUCUGUCGUGUCUUCUCUUGGCGGUUGCAGAUAAAUCGGUUUUACUGUACAUGUACCAAAAUAUAGCAAAAGUUAUAUUUUCUUUUUGUUCAAAAUACACUUAUUUAUUAAAAAAACUAAAAGUGUCUUCUCUUGGCGGUUGCAGAUAAAUCGGUUUUACUGUACAUGUACCAAAAUAUAGCAAAAGUUAUAUUUUCUUUUUGUUCAAAAUACACUUAUUUAUUAAAAAAACUAAAAAGUAGACAACAGAUAUUAAAUACUUGCAUUAAAAGUAUUUUCACAUACAUGAAGACCUUGAGAAUGAAUUAAAUGUCCUUUCGACAUGCAUCUAACCACUUCAUUAAACGCCGUUUCUUGUCAACUGGUAAUCUAAUAAAUAUUUUAUUGGGGGUUUUAAUAGUUGUACAUUUACAUUUAGUUUCCAUAUUAAACACACCCACAAUUCAAUACUACCUCUUCAAAAACUGUAUUAAGCUACAAAGUAAACGAAAUGGUAUAUAAUUUUAUACGAGACACGAGAAAUGUCAUUACAAAUUAUUAUAUGACGUCACAAAGGGUCGCAGAAGAUUUUAAAUUUGUACUUCUAAGUUAUUAUGAGGUUUUGAGGCGUAAAAUUUUGGAAAUCAUAUUUUUAAACGAAACUGAACAAUAUUGUGUAAUAAAACAAAAAUGUGCAAGUUCCCCAUUGUGGUUUAUUAAAAAAAAUACACAAGAAACGCUUCACAACCAAGAUAAAAGCAAUUAAUAAAGCUGGAGAUAGAUAGCAAUAACAAAGAUUCUUCAGAAUAUGAAACGUCUAAUAAUACGUUAAUUUAUGAUAAUGAAAUAAAAUUUAAUAAAAUAAAAUGUAAAGCAGCUGUUUGAUUUUUUUAAUGGCAUAGACAUUAAUCAUUCAGCCAGUCGCAAUCAGAUGAUAGUUUCAGUUCUCUAGAUCACUAGCUCAGGAGAGUAAUGUGCAGUGUGUGUUGAGUAAAUGUCUUGUUACUUAGUAAAGUCGACUUCAUUGUCGUUACCAAGAGACGCUUAUUGUAUCCGAACGUCCUUAAUUAUUUAAUUAUUCAAUUCAAGUAGACACACCCAAACUUUAUGGAAUCACCAUGUAUUUCAAAGCAAUAUUUAUUUCUUUUGAAAAAACUUGUUAGUGUUGCGAAGAAUAAAGGUUUUUAUUGAAAAUAAACAAAUUGAUAAGACAAUCAGAUAGUAUAGCUCGGUACGGUAUAGGUUAGUUGCUUGAGUUGCAAAUUGAACGAAAAUAAAUUAACUUUUGGGUCCAAAAGCGAAAAUAUCCGUCAUGUGGGGGUAUAGAACCUACAACGGGGAAAUAUAUUGGUCUUGUGGAGAAAGUAAUGUUCUCAGAGGGACGUAGCUGUAGAGCUAUGCGUAACACAGGGCGUUCUGUCCAAAACCUAUGCUAGGUAAAAGGAACUAGGAAAGCUUAAAAAUAAAGCAAGGGAAAAUCGCCAAAAAGUAAUAGCGACGAUCGUUUAAUUGUCCAAUCAGCUGGAAAACACCCAACCAUUUCUCACCUGCAGCUCCAAAGUCAGUUUUUGGAAGCUACAGGUGUAACUUUUUCAGUUGAAACGAUAAGAAGAAGAGUUCGUGUCAAGAAGUAUACAGCAGGAGGCAGUUGUGAGUUCCCGAGUUAUCCAGGAAGCACAAGAUUGAUCGCCUAAAUUGGUGUCUUCAUCACCAAAACUGGAACAUU
rnacentral:lncRNA from 1 species